UACGGGGGGGCAAGCGUUUGUUCGGAAUUACUGGGCGUAAAGCGCGCGUAGGCGGACCUGCAAGUCGGGGGUGAAAGCCCGAGGCUCAACCUCGGAACUGCCUUCGAUACUGCGGGUCUCGAGUCCGGGAGAGGUGAGUGGAACUCCGAGUGUAGAGGUGAAAUUCGUAGAUAUUCGGGAAGAACACCAGUGGCGAAGGCGGCUCACUGGCCCGGCACUGACGCUGAGACGCGAAAAGCGUGGGGGAGCAAACAGGG
rnacentral:rRNA from 1 species